rnacentral:misc_RNA from 1 species
CGUCAUUUCAACCGUCAAGCCUGGCUUGGUGUUGGGCGUCUUGUCCCGUUGCAUGCGUGGACUCGCCUUAAAAGAAUCGGCGUCUGUAUGUUGGCCUGAUGCGUAGCACAAUUCGCAGACCAGGUGGGCGUACCGGCGGCCGGAAUGCUGAUUAUAUUUUGUUUGACCUCGGAUCAGGUAGGGAUACCCGCUGAACUUAA